rnacentral:lncRNA from 1 species
UGUAAAUUGAAAUUUGCUAUCGUAAAUGUUAGCAACACCUCCGCCUUUGCCGGAUGCACGGGGGCUAUGGUCACUAGUGUAACCAGGGGGUGAGGCCUCAUUUAACACAGUAAAUUCAUCAGGCUUAAGCCAUGUUUCAGUCAGGCCAAUCACAUCAAGAUUAUGAUCAGUGAUUAGUUCAUUGACUAUAACUGCCUUGGAAGUGAGGGAUCUAACAUUAAGUAACCCAAUUUUGAGAUGUGAGGUAUCACAAUCUCUUUCAAUAAUGGCAGGAAUGGAGGAGGUCUUUAUUCCAGUGAGAUUGCUAAGGCGAACACCACCAUGUUUAGUUUUGCCCAACCUAGGUCGAGGCACAGACACGGUCUUAAUGGGGAUAGCUGAGCUGACUACACUGACUGUGCUAGUGGCAGACUCCACUAAGCUGGCAGGCUGGCUAACAGACUGCUGCCUGGCCUACACCCUAUCUCAUUGUGGAGCUAGGGGAGUUAGAGCCCUGUCUAUGUUCGUAGAUAAGAUGAGAGCACCCCUCCAGCUAGGAUGGAGUCUGUCACUCCUCAACAGGCCAGGCUUGGUCCUGUUUGUGGGUGAGUCCAAGAAAGAGGGCCAAUUAUCUACAAAUUCUAUCUUUUGGGAGGGGCAGAAAAGUUUUCAACCAGUGAUUGAGCUCAUCACUCCCCCUAACUGGGAGGGGGCCAGAGGCAAUUACUCGAUGCCGACACAUCUUUCUAGCUGAUUUACACGCUGAAGCUAUGUUGCGCUUGCUGACUUCUAACUGUUUCAUUCUAACAUUGUUGGUGGCCCUGUCCCCUGGUAAACAGUGUAUGAUCCGUUUUAAGUCUAAUACUAUGGGUAAUAGAAUCGCCAAUGACUAGGGUUUUCAAUUUGUCAGAGCUAAUGGUGGGAGGCUUCGGCGUCUCAGACCCCGUAACGGGAGGAGUAGAGACCAGAGAAGGCUCGGCCUCUGACUCCGACUCGCUGCUUAAUGGGGAGAACCGGUUGAAAGUUUCUGUCGGCUGAAUGAGCGACACCGGUUGAGCAUUCCUACAGCAUUUCCCUCCAGAAGUCAUGAGAAAGUUGUCCGGCUGUGGGGACUGUGCGAGGGGAUUUAUACUACUAUCUGUACUUACUGGUGGUACAGACGCUGUUUCAUGCUUUCCUACACUGAAAUUACCCUUGCCUAACGAUUGCGUCUGAAGCUGGGCUUGCAGCACAGCUAUCCUCGCCGUAAGGCGAUCGUUCUCCUGUAUAUUAUGAGAACAGUGACUGCAAUUAGAAGGCCUCAUGUUAAUGUUACUACUUAGCUUCGGCUGGUGGAGGUCCUGACGAACCACGUCCAGAUAAAGCGUCCGGAGUGAAAAAGUUGAAUGAAAAAAAGUUGGGCGAGGGGAAAAACAAAAAAUAUAAAAAGUAAAAACCGUAAAGUUGUCAGGUAGCAAAGUAAGGUUAGCAACAAAACGCACAGCAGCACGUAAACAAGUCUGCAAGUUGUGACCGGAAAUGACGCUACAGUAUAGGCUAUAUAACCAUGCUAUAUUAAGGAGACGUAAUUUAUAGAUUGGCAGGUAAGUGUGCUCUCUUGUGGCUAGAUGUUCUUUACCAUUCGGCCAUCAGAUUUGCCACCAAUGCUCCUUAUAGGACACAUCACUGCACUCUAUACUCCUCUGUAAACUGGUCAUCUCUGUAUACCUGUUGCAAGACCCGCCGGUUGAUGCUUUAAAAAAAAAAAUACUUUUAGGCCUCACUCCCCCCUAUCUGAGAUCCCUGCUGCCAUGUUGUGUUGCUACAUUUACAUUUACAUUUACGUCAUUUAGCAGACGCUCUUAUCCAGAGUGACUUACAAAUUGGUGCAUUCACCUUAAGAUAUCCAGUGGAACAACCACUUUACAAUAGUACAUCUAUAUCUUUUUUUUGGGGUGGGGGGUUAGAAGGAUUACUAUAUCCUAUCCCAGGUAUUCCUUAAAGAGGUGGGGUUUCAGGUGUCUACGGAAGGUGGUGAUUGACUCCGCUGUCCUGGCGUCGUGAGGGAGCUUGUUCCACCAUUGGGGUGCCAGAGCAGCGAACAGUUUUGACUGGGCUGAGCGGGAACUGUGCUUCCGCAGAGGUAGGGGUGCCAGCAGGCCAGAGGUGGAUGAACGCAGUGCCCUUGUUUGGGUGUAGGGCCUGAUCAGAGCCUGAAGGUACGGCGGUGCCGUUCCCCUCACAGCUCCGUAGGCAAUCACCAUGGUCUUGUAUCAGAUGCGAGCUUCAACUGGAAGCCAGUGGAGUGUGCGGAGGAGCGGGGUGACGUGGGAGAACUUGGGAAGGUUGAACACCAGACGGGCUGCGGCGUUCUGGAUGAGUUGUAGGGGUUUAAUGGCACAGGCAGGGAGCCCCGCCAACAGGGAGUUGCAGUAAAUCAGACGGGAGAUGACAAGUGCCUGGAUUAGGACCUGCGCCGCUUCCUGUGUAAGGCAGGGUCGUACUCUGCGAAUGUUGUAUAGCAUGAACCUACAGGAUCGGGUCACCGCCUUGAUGUUAGCGGAGAACGACAGGGUGUUGUCCAGGGUCACGCCGAGGCUCUUAGCACUCUGGGAGGAGGACACAAUGGAGUUGUCCACCGUGAUGGCGAGAUCAUGGAAAGGGCAGUCCUUCCCCGGGACGAAGAGCAGCUCCGUCUUUCCGAGGUUCAGCUUGAGGUGGUGAUCCGUCAUCCACACUGAUAUGUCUGCCAGACAUGCAGAGAUGCGAUUCGCCACCUGGU